rnacentral:rRNA from 1 species
CCAAUAGCGUAUAUUAACGUUGUUGCAGUUAAAAAGCUCGUAGUUGAACUUCGAGGUUUGCUCAUUGGUCAGGCUUAAUUGUCUGUACUGGUGGGAUAAAUCUCUACCUUCUGAGGAACUUUCAUGCCAUUUAUUUGGUGUGAUGGGAAAUCAGGACUGUUACUUUGAAAAAAUUAGAGUGUUUAAAGCAGACUAACGUCUGAAUACAUUAGCAUGGAAUAAUGAAAUAGGACGGACUGAUUCUAUUUCGUUGGUUUCUAGGAUCACCGUAAUGAUUAAUAGGGAUAGUUGGGGGCAUUAGUAUUCAAUUGUCAGAGGUGAAAUUCUUGGAUUUAUUGAAGACUAACUACUGCGAAAGCAUUUGCCAAGGAUGUUUUCAUUAAUCAAGAACGAAAGUUAGGGGAUCGAAGACGAUCAGAUACCGUCGUAGUCUUAACCAUAAACUAUGCCGACUAGGGAUCGGACGAAGUUAAUUUUAUAAUGACGCGUUCGGCACCUUACG